AUGGUGACCAAUGUUGCCAACCAGUUCAUUUGAAAAUUUGCCAUCUGAAAGAGUAGCUAUGUAAGCGAAAGGCACUAUACUAGAAGCUAGGGAAGAAGAGUCAAAAAUAAAAGAAUUUCUGUUCUCAAAGAGCUUCAAUCUGCUGAAGGGACUUUCCUCGCACAUAAGUGAAUGUGCUCAGCAUAACAUUGUAAAUGGAGUUCUGGAGACAGACAAAGACUGGUUAUGUGGAGCUGGGAGCAAAGUGAUAAUAGUUGAAGUCAAGGAACCAGAAAAGAUCACUCAGGAGAAUGCAGAGUAAGAAAGGAGACCCCCAAGCAAAACACCUGAGUACAUCUACAAAUUUGAGGAGUGUCAGGCCAUACACGAACCUAAGUCCUAACUGCAAGACUAGCCUUUUAAAGUGGUCAUUGUUGGGUUUCAUUUUUGUCCAAGUGGACACUAACUCCCAAGGUCACACAGCAUUUGGAAAUUGUGCUUACACUGGAAGAAUAAGAGAAUAUUGGAACCACACCCUUCCUCUCUAA
rnacentral:lncRNA from 1 species